rnacentral:rRNA from 1 species
UACGUAGGGUGCGAGCGUUAAUCGGAAUUACUGGGCGUAAAGGGUGCGCAGGCGGCGUCGCAAGUCAGGCGUGAAAUCCCCGGGCUUAACCUGGGAACUGCACUUGAAACUACGAUGCUGGAGUACGGUAGAGGGAAGUGGAAUUUCCGGUGUAGCGGUGAAAUGCGUAGAUAUCGGAAAGGAACAUCAGUGGCGAAAGCGACUUCCUGGACCAGUACCGACGUCAGGCACGAAAGCGUGGGGAGCAAACAGG